ACCCCGAGUCACAGAGAAAGAGGACGGUGCAGAAUGUGCUGGAUCUCCGGCAAAACCUGGAAGAGACCAUGUGCAGCCUGCGAGGGUCCCAGGUGACUCACAGAGUUGGAAAAUGAGAGCAAAGCUGGGACACAGAGGGACGGAAAGAGGGCUUUCUUUAGCCCAAGUGUGUGGCCAUGUGAAAUCCAGACUAAAGCUGCAUGCCUCCAGUGACAGAGAACUCAUCACCCCUCAGCCGUCCCCAUCCUCGUGGGGCUGCCACUGCUGU